rnacentral:rRNA from 1 species
GGUUGAUCCUGCCGGAGACUAUUGCUAUCCGGGUUCUACUAACCCAUGCGAGUCUAAGUCGCAAGGCUUGGCGAAUUGCUGUGUAAUGAGCAGUCAACUUACCCUCAAGUGGAGGAUAAUCACGGGAAACUGUGGCUAAUGCUCCAUAGAUAUAGAUUUCUGGAAUGAGUUUAUAUCAAAAGCUUUCGCGCUUGAGGAUAGGACUGUUCCUGAUUAGGCUGUUGUUGGUGUAACGAACCAGCAAACCGAUAAUCAGUAGGGGCUAUGGAGGUAGGAGCCUCCAGAUGGAUUCUGAGACAUGAAUCCAGGUACUACGGUAUGCAGCAGGGGAGAAACCUUUGCAAUCGGCUCACGCCGGACAAGGGAACCUGGAGUGACUCUGUUUUACAGAGUCUUUUGUUGACUGAAAACGGGUCAGCGAAUAAGGGCUGGUGAAGACGGGUGCCAGCCACCGCGGUAAUACCCGCAGCCCGAGUGAUGGUCAGUAUUAUUGGGUCUAAAGCGUCCGUAGCCGGUUUGACAAGUUCCUGGUGAAAUCCACUAGCAAACUAGUGGGCUUGCUGGGGUUACUGUUAAACUUGAGACCGGGAGAGGGCAGAGGUACUCUCAGGGUAGGGGUUAAAUCCUGUAAUCCUGAGGGGACCACCUGUGGCGAAGGCGUCUGCCUAGAACGGGUCUGACGGUGAGGGGCGAAAGCUAGGAGAGCGAUCGGGAUUAGAUACCCCGGUAGUCCUAGCUGUAAACGUUGCCUGUUUGGUGUUGCAGACCUCUUGGGGGUUUGCAGUGCCGGAGCGUAGGUGUUAAACGGGCCACCUGGGAAGUAUACUCGCAAGGGUGAAACUUAAGGGGAUUGGCAGGGGAGCACACAAGGGGUGGGCAGUGCGGUUCAAUUGGAUUCAACGCC